AGUGAACGCUGGCGGCAGGCCUAACACAUGCAAGUCGAACGGCAGCACAGGGGAGCUUGCUCCCUGGGUGGCGAGUGGCGGACGGGUGAGGAAUACAUCGGAAUCUACCCUGUCGUGGGGGAUAACGUAGGGAAACUUACGCUAAUACCGCAUACGACCUCCGGGUGAAAGCAGGGGAUCGCAAGACCUUGCGCGAUUGGAUGAGCCGAUGUCCGAUUAGCUAGUUGGCGGGGUAAAGGCCCACCAAGGCGACGAUCGGUAGCUGGUCUGAGAGGAUGAUCAGCAACACUGGAACUGAGACACGGUCCAGACUCCUACGGGAGGCAGCAGUGGGGAAUAUUGGACAAUGGGCGAAAGCCUGAUCCAGCCAUGCCGCGUGGGUGAAGAAGGCCUUCGGGUUGUAAAGCCCUUUUGUUGGGAAAGAAAACUUUCCGGUUAAUACCCGGAGAGAAUGACGGUACCCAAAGAAUAAGCACCGGCUAACUUCGUG
rnacentral:rRNA from 1 species